ACACGUUAAAACUAAUUGAUUAUACUGUAAUUACAAUUUCUUAGUCUAAAUGUGCAUAAAACACAACCAGUGGCCAAUGCCGCACGUGGGGCGUCAUCGUUUAGCAGGGCCGAUGACGCUUAUGGCGCGUCAUCGAACAAACUGCUUGGCCUGUGGUAAGAAUUCGUGAAAAUGAAGGUGGCAACGAAUCGGUUAACCUGUAUUGACUAAAGAU